CAGCAGUUGGUUCAUUAAUGUUCCUACUCCUCUUUUGUGGAACUUUCUAGAUCCUUCUCUUUCAGAGGUUGGCACACAGAUUUUAAGUCUUCUCAAGGAGUGGCUGAAGAAGGAAAAAAACUGGAGGACACAAAAUUUCACUUCAGACUAGGGAAGGCUGGACGACAUCUUACUAUCAUGGACAUAAACAAACAAACAAAAUAAGCCUCUUAAAGACUGCACAGCUGCAGACAGGAUAGCACUCCAGAGGGUCGUCACCACAGUCCAAAAGAUUAUCGGCUGCCCUCUCCCUUCCCUGGAAGAUCUGUACAGGACAUCUGUUCAGGAAAAGCUCUCCAUAUUCUCAGGGACCCAUGUCACCCAGGACAUUCGCUCUUUGAACUGCUGCCCUCGGGCAAACGCUUCAGGACAUUGAGAGCACACACAAAUACAGAAAACAGUUUUUAUGCUAAAGUCAUAACUGCACUAAACUGCACCAAAUAAUGGCUUUUUUUUCUUAGAAGCAGUUAUUUAUUUAUUAUUGUUGUCUGCACUUUUAAGGACUGCAUUUCAGUUUCAUUAUGC